GACGACAACAACAACAACAACAACCGAAAUCAAUAUAAGAAGCAGAAACCACAACAGAAAUCAACCUUCUUGCCGAGAACCGGAAGUAUCUUCUCGCUGGACUAAUCUUUCAGCUUUGUUUAGAUGGGGUGUGGCAUUGCAGCAAAGAUCACGACAACGACCAAGAAAUAGUAAAGAGAAGGUGAAGUUACUGCAGCAAUCAAAGAGGCUAUUUGGGUUAAAAAAAGAGAGCAAAGAGACUGUUUAAAGAUGCAGCAACCAAAGAGGACUGCCUGUUGUUUUGGGAUUUUUUUUUUUUUUGUAAUCUGGAUAGAUAGAGCUGUCUGAAUUGGAUGUGGAUGGAGCUAGUUUUUUGUUGGGGCUUAUAAUAGAGCUAUGUCUUUUGUUGG